rnacentral:rRNA from 1 species
AUUGAACGCUGGCGGCAGGCCUAACACAUGCAAGUCGAGCGGUAGAGAGGUGCUUGCACCUCUUGAGAGCGGCGGACGGGUGAGUAAUGCCUAGGAAUCUGCCUGGUAGUGGGGGAUAACGUCCGGAAACGGACGCUAAUACCGCAUACGUCCUACGGGAGAAAGCAGGGGAACUUCGGGCCUUGCGCUAUCAGAUGAGCCUAGGUCGGAUUAGCUAGUUGGUGAGGUAAUGGCUCACCAAGGCGACGAUCCGUAACUGGUCUGAGAGGAUGAUCAGUCACACUGGAACUGAGACACGGUCCAGACUCCUACGGGAGGCAGCAGUGGGGAAUAUUGGACAAUGGGCGAAAGCCUGAUCCAGCCAUGCCGCGUGUGUGAAGAAGGUCUUCGGAUUGUAAAGCACUUUAAGUUGGGAGGAAGGGUACUUACCUAAUACGUGAGUAUUUUGACGUUACCGACAGAAUAAGCACCGGCUAACUCUGUGCCAGCAGCCGCCGUAAAAC